rfam:TPA: Bos taurus chromosome 15, whole genome shotgun sequence.
UCCCUGGUGGUUCAGAUGUUAAAGCGUCUGCCUGCAAUGCGGGAGACCUGGGUUCGAUCCCUGGGUGGGGAA